GAUGAACGCUGGCGGCGUGCUUAACACAUGCAAGUCGAACGAUGAAGCCCAGCUUGCUGUGUGGAUUAGUGGCGAACGGGUGAGUAACACGUGAGUAACCUGCCCUUAACUCUGGGAUAAGCCUGGGAAACUGGGUCUAAUACCGGAUAGGAGCGUCCACCGCAUGGUGGGUGUUGGAAAGAUUUAUCGGUUUUGGAUGGACUCGCGGCCUAUCAGCUUGUUGGUGAGGUAAUGGCUCACCAAGGCGACGACGGGUAGCCGGCCUGAGAGGGUGACCGGCCACACUGGGACUGAGACACGGCCCAGACUCCUACGGGAGGCAGCGGUGGGGAAUAUUGCACAAUGGGCGCAAGCCUGAUGCAGCGACCCCGCGUGAGGGAUGACGGCCUUCGGGUUGUAAACCUCUUUCAGUAGGGAAGAAGCGAAAGUGACGGUACCUGCAGAAGAAGCACCGGCUAACUACGUG
rnacentral:rRNA from 1 species